GGGUGAGUAGCUCAGCUGGUUAGAGCACUCGGCUGAUAACCGAGAGGUCAGAGGUUCGAGUCCUCUUUCACCCA
rnacentral:tRNA from 1 species